ACAAGUAAAGAUGGGUGUCUGAAGUGGAAAUUUAGGGAAAGAAGCCAGGAAGACAGCCAGCAGACUUUUCAACUGUCUUAUUUGGGAAAUAUGGCUGCCUGGUUCAACUUGAGGGACAUUUUCUGGAUUUGGACAGUGUUUCCACAGGACUGGAGGGCUCACACAAGAGCAUCUCAAUGUCUCAGAUUUAAAAGCAGCAAAGGGAUAUGGCAUCAUGGUUGCUGAAAACACAAGGACUGAUCCCUGGCUGGAAGAAGCCAAAACUGGUAUGGAGGAGAAAAGGGUUUGAACUGAGCGGAGUCGCAAAGAAUCACUGCAGGAACCAUCCCAGACGUGAGAGGCAUCAUCAAGGUGCUCCCUCAGUUGAGAAGUUCCACAGCAGCUUUGGGUUUAAGUGGUCUAAGUAACACUCAGAAUUCUUAAGUUCAAUUUUCCCCAAGCAGAAUAAAAAUGUAAAAUUUCUCUAUCUAGGUUAAACAGAAGGCAUAAUCCAUCUUAAUAAAGACAUUAUUCUUUUUGGUGCCAUAGUUUCCUAAAACUGACUGUGGCUUCAUUCUUUUAUGUGGGUGGUGAGCCAAAAGACAAAAGGAAUGCUUGUGUCUGGGAGACAGGACAGACAAGAGACAGAGCUGGAAAGGCCCCCUGUGGAAUGUGUGAGGGAACACCACCAACCUGCAGCCACCAGCCAAUCCUGGAAGCACCCAGCUCAAAUACAAAGUUUAUGUCUUGAUAGCUAAGUAAGCCUUGGGGAGCACCCGUGGAACAUCUACUAGGGAUGUGAUGAUGAGCAAUAAUUCUUGAAAGGACAUGUCUACACAACAUAAAACUUCAGCUAUUCCCCUGAAGUUCAGAGUAAAGGCAUUAGCCCAUACCAUACCUACCUCCUCCUGAAUUUUGCAAAGUAAUUCAAAAGUUAAGCUCACCAUUCUGUAUCAGCAGUGAGUUCAAUAUACUGGUGUUAUUACAUCAGUGGAAGAAUCGCCUGAUUGCCUGAUUGUCUUUCUCUCUUUGGAUCCCUGCAUUACACUGUGAUAUAGAUGGUGGUGGUGGUGGGGUGUGUGUGUGUGUGUGUGAAGGAGCAGAGGAGAGGAAGACAAAAGCAAAUGGUUUGUGUUAAUCAAGGAUUAUCAUACGUGGGUAACAUAUAAGUUUAGGAAAAAGCAUAAGAGGGGUAAAUAUCAAGAGGCACUUGAUAGAUUCCCUAAUGUUAAGAAAAAUUAUCCAAAACCUGUAAAUAAAGCAAAGACACUAAUUCCAUGUUCUUUUCAAAUCAUACUGAAUCAUUAUUUUACCAAGUCCACCCAAGAUUAAUUAUUUAGUAUAAUGUUAGUUAAGUUACAUGUCUAUGAAGUUGCAUGUUAAUUUAUAAACUUGUUUCCAGCAGAGAUACAUAUUAUUUCUGUGUGGUAGAAAAGAGAACUCCAGAGGUGAUAGCUUAUUUAGGACACCAGCCAGUUUUGUAUCUAACCUAGCAAUCUUAUUCUAAUAUUAUUUUAUUAAAGUGUCUACAAAUGCUCUGUUCCUCAAGUACACCUUUAGCAUCUUACCAGUUCCAUCAUUACUUAACGAGAUUUAAAAAAAAACCUAUAACACACGUUCCUCUUUUUCAUGAGUCAUGUUUUAAACUUUUUAGGAAGCAUACUUUACUACCACCCAUCAACUCCCAUCUUAACAUAAGACCAUAAAAGCCAGUAUCCUAUGGAAAUGCCUGUAACAGCCUCCUCCCCUCCUGUUGUUCCACCCGGACUCUUCAUGGGAACGUUAAGAGAACUCGCGAGGUGCCUUCCUCUCCUCCCACAGGAACUUGUGCAGUUACAGGGCCGACAGAGCUGUACUGCACCAAGAUGGGAAAAGCAAUGCCACUGGAUUUCCAGUGAACUUCUCAGGCUCUCAGACUGAGGAAUCAUGGGCUCCCCUCCCCCCUUCAAGUGUCUGCUGGAUCCAAAGAAUCGUGGCAAUGGCCAGGAACUUUCCAUAUGGACUGAUGGCCUCCUGGCCUGCACUUACGCAUUUUCCUCCCAGAACCAACAAGAGUUGCCCGAUACCAACAUUGUCCCUCUCCUUACCCCCAUUCUAAGAGAGGAGGUCUGCCUGAGUGCUAAGUUCACCCAGCACAUUUAGGGGGCACUCACAGUGUACCAUCUCUUCUCUCUUUCUGGCCUUCUUCUCUACUUGGAAUCCUCAGCACAGAACCUCACCCCAGUCACAUCCAUAUAGGACUUAAACCUCAGAUCACCUACAGCCCAAGAGGCAGACCUUUCUCUCCUCUUCUAUCUCACCUCUCUUCAAAAAUAAAUGUCACUGCAGAAGAAAAUGAAAUGCACAAUAAAGCAUAGAUUAUUUAAGAAAGAAAGCAAGGGCACAUUAAUUACAUUUAAGCCAAAUAAGGUAAUGCAAAACAUUGUUUCUCUCAAAGCUUUUAAAAUUUCAUUCCAUUCAUUUACGUAAGAUGACUGUUUGGUACAGCUGUUUUACUGGUACAGAAAUUACAAAAUUAAGAGAAAAAUAUGGUUUUAGAUUUAUAAAAGAUAAAACAAUCACAAAAUCAUAACAGAGUUCUACUCUCCUUUAAUAUAAUGAAACUAUGAUGCUUCAAAACCUGAUUUUUUUGUUAAUUUUUAAAAUGGUUUCCUCUGUGGGUCUUUCCACUGUGGACCAUGGUAGCCACAGACAGACUCUACCCUUGAUCAUUUUGCCUCUCCUUCUUUGAAGGGGUUGCUGGGAACCUCCUGGAUUCUCUUUCUGUGAGGUGUUAGGCUAUCUACCUACCUAAGUCUGACUCCUGUUAUCUUGCCUGUUAUUAUUUAACAGGAAAUACUGACGUCUUCCUUCCAGAGCAGCAAGCAUUCCUGGGAGAGAAGGAAGGACACUGCCUGCAGGACCUACUCAAUUCCUGAUCUUUCUAACUUCAUCUCCCCAUUCCACAGCUUCCCCCUCCACCACUAAAACCAAAACCCCUUUCCAGCCUCCUGGGCAUAUAUGUAAAGAACUACCCAUCUCUUGGGGAGCACAGGCACCUGGCUUCCUAUACACCACCACAAUCCAAGACACAAUUUGCAAAUCAGAGAGCCUGUGGAUAAUCAUAAAUUCUACUGAGUUUAAAAAUCAGGACCUAAACUAUUUUGUCUCCCUAUUAAUUCCACCGACCCAGCAAUUCCCAAAGUAAGUCAUGUUCAGCUGACAGCGAGAAUGAAGCAUCUUCAGCAAAUAAUGCCCAUCAUUGAAAACACACUACGGUUUGUGACUUUGGGCCACCAGGAUGCACAUGGAGCCAUUUCACCCAUGGUAUUCAAAGGCUCUUUUGGGAGUGUCUAUGCUUCUUUUUCCACAUGUUGUCUUUUCUUUCCAGCUGUUAGUUAGCUCUUUGAACCA